rnacentral:rRNA from 1 species
ACACGUCUACAUUAGAUACCCCCGUAGUCCCAGCCGUAAACUAUGCGCGUUAGGUGUAUCGGUGACCACGAGUUACCGAGGUGCCGAAGGGAAACCGUGAAACGUGCCGCCUGGGAAGUACGGUCGCAAGGCUGAAACUUAAAGGAAUUGGCGGGGAGCACCACAACGGGUGGAGCCUGCGGUUUAAUUGGACUCGACGCCGGGAAGCUCACCGGAUAAGACAGCGGAAUGAUUGCCGGGCUGAAGACUCUGCAUGACUAGCUG